rnacentral:rRNA from 1 species
UACGUAGGGGGCAAGCGUUGUCCGGAAUCAUUGGGCGUAAAGCGCGUGUAGGCGGCUCGGUAAGUCUGCUGUGAAAGUCCAGGGCUCAACCCUGGGAUGCCGGUGGAUACUGUCGAGCUCGAGUCCGGAAGAGGCGAGUGGAAUCCUGGUGUAGCGGUGAAAUGCGCAGAUAUCAGGAGGAACACCAAUGGCGAAGGCAGCUCGCUGGGACGUGACUGACGCUGAGACGCGAAAGCGCGGGGAGCAACAGG